AGCAUAUCAGUAAGCGGAGGAAAAGAAAACAACAGUGAUUCCCUCAGUAACUGCGAGUGAAGUGGGAAAAGCCCAUCGUUGAAUCUUCCUGGACCAUGGACAGGACGAAAUGUAACGGUAUGGAUAGGUCUACUACCAACGACGGUUUGAUCAAAGUCCUCCGGGUUGAGGUGCCAUAGAAGGUGAUAGUCCUGUGUGUGAUUGAACAAAGUUGGGUAUGUGGCCAAUUCCUAGAGUCGGGUUGUUUGGGAUUGCAACCUAAAGUAGGUGGUAAACUCCACCCAAGGCUAAAUAUGGACACGAAACCGAUAGCGAACAAGUACUGUGAGGGAAAGUUGAAAAGAACUCUGAAAAGAGAGUUAAAAGUACGUGAAACCGCUUACGGGGAAGCGGAAGGCAGUGUCGUGAUCUUGUAAGACUGUGACUUUGAUAUUUGUUGGCAAGUUGCGGUGUGAGUUACUUGUCGGUAGGUAUUGAGUCGUUAGCUAUACUUGAUGCGUCAGGUCUAUUGGUAUUACAUGUGGUGCAAUUGUUCUUUAUCUACGCGUAGAAAUGCGUGUAGAGUGGCUUCAACAAGACCCCUGACAGUUGUUUUGGGUAUUGCUGUUGCGUGGAUGCAAUCAAUCACAUAUACUAAUAUGUAAUGUGGGGAAGCGUUAGUGGCUGUUGAUCUACUUCGGUAGGUGAUGGUCGGCUGUGGACCAUGCGAUUGUGUGCGUUGAUUGCAGUGUGAUUACACGUAUAUUUAUAUUGUGUGGUAAUUUUCAGCAACUAGUGCUAGUAUCUGACGAGAUACCUAACCUUC
rnacentral:rRNA from 1 species